AAAGGGGCUUCGGCCCUGAGUAAAGCGGCGCACGGGUGAGUAACACGUGGGUAAUCUGCCCUAGAGUGGGGAAUAACACCGGGAAACCGGUGCUAAUACCGCAUACGAUCGCGAUGUCUUCGGAUGUUGUGAUGAAAGGAGCAAUUCGCUCUUGGAGGAGCCCGCGGCUGAUUAGCUAGUUGGUGAGGUAAUGGCUCACCAAGGCAACGAUCAGUAGCCGGUCUGAGAGGACGGUCGGCCACACUGGAGCUGAGACACGGUCCAGACUCCUACGGGAGGCAGCAGUGGGGAAUUUUUCGCAAUGGGGGCAACCCUGACGAAGCAACGCCGCGUGGGUGAUGAAGUAUCUCGGUACGUAAAACCCUUUCGACGGGGAAGAAACCGCAAGGUUGACGGUACCCGUAGAAGAAGCCCCGGCUAACUCCGUGCCAGCAGCCGCGGUAAUACGGGGGGGGCAAGCGUUGUUCGGAAUUACUGGGCGUAAAGGGCGCGUAGGCGGUCUGCUAAGUUGGGUGUGAAAACUCUGGGCUUAACCCAGAGCCUGCACUCAAAACUGACAGGCUAGAGUUCUGGAGGGGAUAGCGGAAUUCCUGGUGUAGCGGUGAAAUGCGUAGAUAUCAGGAGGAACACCGGUGGCGAAGGCGGCUAUCUGGACAGAGUCUGACGCUGAGGCGCGAAAGCUAGGGGAGCAAACAGGAUUAGAUACCCUGGUAGUCCUAGCCCUAAACGAUGGAUACUUGCUGUAACUGGGAUUGAAUCCAGUCGUGGCGAAGCUAACGCAUUAAGUAUCCCGCCUGGGGAGUACGGUCGCAAGGCUG
rnacentral:rRNA from 1 species